rnacentral:rRNA from 1 species
UACGGGGGGGGCAAGCGUUGUUCGGAAUUACUGGGCGUAAAGGGCUCGUAGGUGGCCAACUAAGUCAGACGUGAAAUCCCUCAGCUUAACUGGGGAACUGCGUCUGAUACUGGAUGGCUUGAGAUUGGGAGAGGGAUGCGGAAUUCCAGGUGUAGCGGUGAAAUGCGUAGAUAUCUGGAGGAACACCGGUGGCGAAGGCGGCAUCCUGGACCAAUAUUGACGCUGAGGAGCGAAAGCCAGGGGAGCAAACGGG